GUCAUUGAGGAGUCCUGUAAGAGAAUAGUCCUGUCUGAAUCUUUCAUCCUUUUCUAACCUUGAAACUAAGGAGUUAGGACUUUCUCACACCUUCAAGCACACAGUUGUGUAAUAAUUCAAGGAGAAAGGAGCUUCUAAACCUGGAUGACAAAACUUGGGGUCCUGUCAGUUUAGAAACAGCUUGGAUCUAGUGGGAAACAUGCAAAAGCUGAUGGCAUAUGAUGUCGCAGGGAGACCUGGAGUAUCCCCAAAGUUGUUCUUGUUAAGACCUUCUGUACAAAGGAAAUUACACACUUCUGCCUUUUCCAGUGGCCUGUAAUUUUUGAAAGAUGAAGCUGACUGAAAUGCCUUGAGCCAAAUGUUGACUUCCAAAGGACCUUGAGGACAAUCUGGGGGACUUCUACUGUGUGCUUCCCCUGGCUUAACUGUGAACUAGGCAUCUACUACACACUCUUGUCUGGGCUA
rnacentral:lncRNA from 1 species